ACAGCCAACAGGGGGAGCAGUGCGAGCGUGAAGGCAGACAGUGGCCUGGCCCAGUCUGAUGGGAGAGACCCACCGACCCUGUGGGGCUGGUCCCUACAUCUGGCGCUCUGACGUGGGGCUCUCCCUCGCUGUGUGAAGUUGCACCCUGAGUGCGGGAUCAGCGGAGGAGUUCAACGAGAGAUUCCUGAGGAUUGCAGUCUAUAAACUUGGUGCAGGCGGCUGACCCCGCAGCUCAACAAGAUCAAGAGGCUGAUAAUCAAGCCCCUCAGCCCGAAACU
rnacentral:lncRNA from 10 species